rnacentral:lncRNA from 1 species
AAAUUCUUUAUACUAUAUAAAACAAGAUCAAUAUCUUUAAUCUAAAAUUUUAAUGUCGUAUUAUCAUGUUUUGUAAGAUUUUUAUUUUCAGCCGUUGAUUUUGAGUCCCUUCUUUCACUAGGCAAAUAAUAUUAAAAAAUCGCAUAAUUUAUUUUCUAACUGUUUCAAAUACUCUAGAUCAAGUUUAACGGAGCCGAUCGACGAUUCGAAAGUCGCAAUAUGAAACACAACAUGGAAGCACGGAAGGCUCCGUGCUUCCAGAAGCAUAGUAGCCUUACUCUCUCUCUCUCUCUCUCUCUCUCUCUCUCUCUCUCUCUUUCUCUCUCUCUCUCUCUAUAUAUAUAUAUAAAGAGAGUUUGACUGGGCUACUAUCGGUAGUGAACUGCUCGGUUUACUACCGAUUUGUUUUUGAUGAUAGAGCUUCCAAAUCGACGAUCGGCACCGUUGAACAUAAUCUAGACCAUUUAAAUUAUCUAGAAAUUAAAUUUCAUAAUUUUUUGGCAUCACUAACUGAACGAUUAAAGGGUCACAAAAUCUAUAAUUUUAAUGGCCGAUAUGGUGCGUUUGCUCGUUUAACGAUAUAGAAGAGUUCAAAUCCACUAAAUUUUUCUUAAAAAAUUCUUUAAACUAUUUAAAAUAAGAUCUAGACUCUAUAUCUCAAAUAUAAAAAUUGUAUCAUCGCUUUUUGAAGGAUAUUCAUUUCUAGCCAUUCAUUUUUCUGUUCACUUGAUGGACAAGAGAACAAUAUAAAAAAUGAGUGAAAUUUGAUUUCCAGAUAGUUUAAAUAGUUUAGAUCAUGUUUAACGGUGCCGAUCAUCAAUUUAGAAGCUCUAUCAUCGAAAAUAAAUCGGUAGUAAACGGCUCGGUUUACUACCGAUAGUAUUCUAGCAAAACUAUAUAUAUAUAUAGAGAGAGAGUUAGGCUCCUAUGCUUUCGAAAGUACGGGAGGCCCCGUGCUUGUAAGUUGUUUUUGAUGAUGGGACAUCCGAUUCGGCGAUCGGUUCCGUUAAACUUGAUCUACGCUAUUGGAACUAUCUAGAAACCAAAUUUCAUAAUUUUUUGAUUUCGUUUGUCUAGUGAACGAGUAGCCUCAAAAUGAACGGCUGAAAAUGAAAAUCUCAUAAAAAUAAUGAUAAAAGAUUCAAAUUUUAAAUCGGAAGUAUUGAUCUUGCUACUGAUGUUAAGUAGAAUUUUCUAUUAAAUUUUCAUGUAAUUUGGAUACUUCUACACCGUUGAAUUUAAAAAUGCGCCACAUCAACCGUUAAAAUAGUCAUUUUUUAGACCUUUUGAUCGCUUAGUAAAUGAUGUCAAAAAAAUCUAAAAUUUGGUUUCUAGAUAGUUCCAAUAGGGUAAAUCAUACCUAACGGAGCCGAUCGUCGAAUCGAACGUCCUAUCAUCGAAAACAACUUACAAGCACGGAGCCUCCCGUACUUUCGAAAGUACGGGAGACGGACUAUAUAUAUAUAUAUAUAUAUAUAUAUAU